CCAGGAUCAGCUCCUGCCCUCCGAUGGCGUCUCCAGGCCCGACUGCUGCCUCCCAACAACCUUUUUGGACUCAGCGCCUGCCCAUCUCCUGGCGGCCUUGGUCGGCCCACAGCUUCCUGAAGCCAAGCUCCCCAGGCCCAGGUCAGGCCUCACGGUGGCCUCUCCAGGAUCAGCUCCUGCCCUCCAAUGGCGUCUCCAGGCCCCAAAUGGUCUCCGGUCGGUGGGCUCCUCCACGCCCAGCUUGGGCCUCCUGGCGACCUCUGCAGGCCCAAGUCGUCCUGAAGUCGGCGUCUCCCGGCCCUGCCU
rnacentral:lncRNA from 1 species